rnacentral:lncRNA from 1 species
AUGGGUGCCUGGGGUCCUGGGGAGGGGGCCAGGGAAGGCCCCCGUUUUGCAGCAGCGCUGGGAAGGGUCUCGUUGGCCAGUCUUGGGGGGGGGGGAUCCUUGCCCGGCGGGCCCGUCUGUGCCCACACCUUCCUUCCCAGCGCCCGGCGAGAUGCCUUAGUCUGCGGGGGCAGGCUGGGGUCCCCUUUCCCCCUGUGUCUUAUGGACGUCCUCUGGAUCGUCCCAUCCCUGGCUGGUGCCUCUCACAGAAGGGGGACCGUGGGUCCGGGGGCCCAGGAGGCUGAGGACGCGUCCAGGGGCCUGGAGAGACCCGUGCCCCUCCUCCCCCAAGGAGCUCGGGGCCACUGGGACCUGGUUGCAGCCUCUGAGCUGUGGCAUCGCGAGGGGGGAGGGGGAGGGGCUCCCAGGGACUCGUGCUUUCAGGUGACCCCCCCCCCCUGCCUGGCCUCUUCCUUGUAUUUAAUUAAACCCUUUUUUAAACCCGACUCUGGUGUCUGCGUCGUUUUUGCCUCCUCUGCCUGGAGUCCCUGUGGCCCGGGUCACCGGCCCCCUCCUGGGGACGCGCGUAGCCCCCGCGGCCCUAAGGCCCCGCGGGAGGGGGCUGCCGCCCCGCGCCACCCACGCCCUCGCAGCUGCGCCCCCUCCCGCUCGUUACCCGGCAACCGCGGUGACACUGCGCCCGCCCCCUCCCGCACCCCGCCCCCGCCCGAGCUGGGGAGCCGCGCCUCCCCAGGGCCUGGGACCCCGCCCUCCGCCUGUCCCUGGAGGGGGCUGCACGGGGAGGGGGGGGCGGUGACCGCAGGGGGCCCACAGGCCGGCAGGGCCCUCGCCCCUGCUCCGGAGGCCGCCCAGUCGCACCCCCCUAACCCGUGCUUCACUUCUCCCCCUUUGCGCCCCGCAGGCCCGCGGACAUUGCUCCUCGGGCCCCUGUCCUACUGGCCCCCUCCCUCUCCAGCUGCCUUUUCCGCCCCUUGGGGAGAGUCCCUGGAAUUCGGGGCGCACGCACGCAGCCCCCCCUCCCGCCUCUCGGACACGGUCCCACGGGCUCCGAACAGCCCGAGGGGGUCCCCUCCUACCGUCUGGGCGCUCCCCGGUCACGCGGCCUCGGGACCCCUGACUCUCCCGGGUCCCCCCAACCGCGGGCUCCGGCCCCCCUAG